rnacentral:tRNA from 1 species
CCUUAGGUAGCUUAAAAUUAUAAAGCGUUGCUUUGAAGCAGCAGCGAAAGAGGUUUCUCUUCUAAGGG